rnacentral:misc_RNA from 1 species
UCUCCGUAGGUGAACCUGCGGAGGGAUCAUUAAGAAUUGAACAGCAGUGUCUGGCACUGUUGCCCAUUCUAACCCUUUGUGAACUACAACUCUGUUGCUUCGGGGGCGACCCUGCCGUUUCGACGGCGAGCGCCCCCGGAGGCCUUCAAACACUGCAUCUUUGCGUCGGAGUUUAAGUAAAUUAAACAAAACUUUCAACAACGGAUCUCUUGGUUCUGGCAUCGAUGAAGAACGCAGC